rnacentral:rRNA from 1 species
GAUGAACGCUGGCGGCGUGCCUAAUACAUGCAAGUCGAGCGAACGGACGAGAAGCUUGCUUUUCUGAUGUUAGCGGCGGACGGGUGAGUAACACGUGGAUAACCUACCUAUCAGACUGGGAUAACUUCGGGAAACCGGAGCUAAUACCGGAUAAUAUUUUGAACCGCAUGGUUCAAAAGUGAAAGACGGUCUUGCUGUCACUUAUAGAUGGAUCCGCGCUGCAUUAGCUAGUUGGUAAGGUCACGGCUUACCAAGGGAACGAUGCAGAGCCGACCUGAGAGGGUGAUCGGCCACACUGGAACUGAGACACGGUCCAGACUCAUACGGGAGGCAGCAGUAGGGAAUCGUCCGCAAUGGGCGAAAGCCUGACGGAGCAACGCCGCGUGAGUGAUGAGGGUCUUCGGAUCGUAAAACUCUGUUAUUAGGGAAGAACAUAUGUGUAAGUAACUGUGCACAUCUUGACGGUACCUAAUCAGAAAGCCACGGCUAACUACGUG